rnacentral:rRNA from 1 species
UGGCUCAGGAUGAACGCUGGCGGCGUGCCUAACACAUGCAAGUCGAACGGAGUUUUUCGAGGAAGUUUUUCGGAUGGAAUCGUGUGACUUAGUGGCGGACUGGUGAGUAACGCGUGAGUAAUCUGCCUAUCACAGGGGGAUAACAGAGGGGAAACUUCUGCUAAUACCGCAUAAGACCACAGGAUGGCAUCAUCAAGGGGUCAAAGGUUAGAUCUGGUGAUAGAUGAGCUUGCGUAUCAUUAGCUAGUUGGUGAGGGUAAAGGCCCCACCAAGGCGACGAUGAUUAGCCGAUCUGAGAGGAUGACCGGCCACACUGGGACUGAGAUACGGCCCAGACUCCUACGGGAGGCAGCAGUUAGGAAUAUUGGGGCAAUGGAGGAAACUCUGACCCAGCAACGCCGCGUGAAGGAAGAAGGUUUUCGGACUGUAAACUUCUGAUCUAAGGGAAAAAGAAAGUGAUGGUACCUUAGGAGAAAGCCACGGCUAACUACGUGCCAGCAGCCGCGGUAA